rnacentral:rRNA from 1 species
UACAGAGGGUGCGAGCGUUGUCCGGAAUCACUGGGCGUAAAGGGCGCGUAGGUGGUGGCUUAAGCGUGCGGUGAAAGCUCGGGGCUCAACCCCGAGUCGGCCGUGCGAACUGGGCUCACUGGAGCAUAGUAGAGGCAGGUGGAAUUCCGGGUGUAGCGGUGGAAUGCGUAGAGAUCCGGAAGAACACCGGUGGCGAAGGCGGCCUGCUGGGCAGGGGCUGACGCUGAGGCGCGACAGCGUGGGGAGCAAACAGG